rnacentral:lncRNA from 1 species
AAGGUUGGUGGUAUAACUGUCACCGUAAUGUAAGUGCAUGUAGUUUUUCCUGUAUGACUUGUAUUCUGUGAAUGGGGUACGCACUGUGCCUUUGAAGCAGUGUAAUAAGAGUUCUGUUGCGCCAUGUAAUUCAAAGUAGUUCCCUGCAAAAAAAUUGUAAUUCAAAGUAGUUCCUCCUUUUCUGGUGCGGUCUCUAAAAGUUUUAUCCUGCAGCUACGCUUGCUGCUGGCACGUUGUUGGUUGGUUCGAAUGAACUGCUAUGCCAUGUAGAAGGAAUGUUUCUUGAGGGGUUAUUCGCUAUCGGAUGACGGGUGCUUGCAGGUCAAAACUACAGUCGAGAAAUAGCAAUCUUGUUUGCAGUUCCAUAUUUUCCUCUGCAUCUUGUUUCUGGAACGUUUGCUUUCAAGUAAAAUCGGGUGAUGGUUCCAACUCCCAAAUGCCUUAUCUUGACUAUAUUUCACGAUAAUCCCGCAUCUACCUCCGUUCCUAAAUAUAAGUCUUUGCAGAGAUUUCACUGUGAACCACAUACGGACGUAUAUAGAUGCAUUUUAAGUUUAGAUUUAUUCAUUUUGCUCUGUCCACCUGGUGGAAUUUUUACUAAGACUUUAUUUAAGAACGGAGGGAGUACUAAGAAGCAAAGAAGUUUCAGUCCGCUGGCCAACAAAGGACCCAUACGUUUACACUGCCUCGCACUCGUCAGGCCUUGAUGAACUUUCAGCCUGUUUUUUUUUUUUUGUGCAUUCAGAAGCCUCAAUACAGCUUCAUGAAAGAAAUACGUAACGUCAUGGAAUAAGUUCUCAAUAGUUGCAUGCCGACUAUCUUCCCAACCAUGAGACACUAUGCCAUAUAAAUAUAUAAUGUUUUCACACGAGCACCGUACGUACCAUGUCAGUAUCCCAUGCAUGCUUUUCACAUGCAUGGCAUGGGAUUGAGCGCUCUCGUUCAGAUUACCAUGAUACCAGUAUGAUGAUAGAACAAAAAUACGAAAGGGCCGUUUGAGAAGACACAACUGCUCUUGUGCCACGGAGCUCCAACUCCUCUCGAAAAAACAGGACAGUAGAUCCUAAAAAAAAGGACGGUGCACGGUAAAAACCAAGCAUAUUCAUGGUUCCGCCACUGUGUCGAGUUAAGCCAUUAAAGAAUAAGUUGAAAGGAGCUCACGAAUGUAGUGCAUGCUAAUGCUAUGCAUGUGCUCCUGCCAAAUUUCCUCCGACCAUGCUUGAUAGUCGUACGUCGUAUUGAUGGCCCUCCAUACUGUGUCGAAUGGAGGCACCCUAAUCAUCUGCCUGAAAGGAACUCAUGAAUGACCUCUAUGCGAAAAUUCUCUCCAAGAAUACGAAUAUUCCGGGCUUAAAAAUGAAGAAACAAGGAAAAAUGACUAUAUUUUUAUUUGAAUUUUUUUUGAGAUAAUUUGUUUUUUACUUGAAUGGAAUUGCUUAAGUUCAUGUGCUAUUAUAUCACGCACUACGUCCAUGAUUUUUUCAGAAUGUUUUAGAAAAUUUAGGCGCCUCGUCUCGAAGCGAGAGUGGUUCAUAAGACAGCACUUCUACGGUAACAACCACUCCACGUAGCGUUUUGGAGCUUUUGAGGUACAACCUGUAUGUUUUUUAAGUUGGAGGAUGAAACCCCACACCUCGAUUAGUUGACAGAGUAUAUACGUUUUCUUCUUCUUCUUCUUCUUCUUUCUCCUCCUCCUCCUCCUCCUCCUCUUCAACUACCCCAAGCUGCCCAUAAAGUUAAAGUAAAUUAUCCAUCAUGCCACCUGUAAGUGAAAAAAAAAGCUAUUCGUUAAUUAUUUUUCUGAUUUUCCGCCCGUCACUGAAACUGCCCCUAAAGUUGAAGUAAUUACCCACCCCGUCACCCGUAAGUGAAGAAAAAACUCUUUAUUAAUUGUUUCUCCUGAAUUUUUUGUUCGUCAUUAAAACUGCCCUUAAAAUUAAAGUAAAUUACCCACCCCGCGUCAAGGAUCAAGUCCAACAUCAACCUAUCGUGAGCAUGUUAGAAUGCACAUGUCUUACGUCUGCUGUGUGUCGAUUGGCGCAUAAAUAUUCAAAUACAUGUAUAUACAUGGAGUGCGAGUAUUUGAAACUUGCUUUGAAGACCAUGAUUUUAUUAUCCCAUUGUGUCGAAAGGGUCCUUUUGCUAUUUAUAAGAAAACGAUGGCUUUACCUUUUGAGUGCUUGUUUCAAGUGUAUCCACUACUUUUUGGAGAAAAACAUUCAUCCGGUUUUAUAUGUAAAUCACCAAAAUGAAGCAAAAAUGACAACACUGAUAAGUCACAAUUUUUUACAACACACAUGUUGAAAUAUAUUAUCCGUCUCUCUUCAUCAGUUUAAACUUUUAAAUAUUGGUUGGAGCAUGGAUUCAAUCACACACACACAUCAAUGAUAUCCGAUUUACCAGUGUCUCCACUACUUAUUGCCGCGGCCUUGCUUUUGGAGACUUAAUCUGCACUGGAUAGCGGUGGAUGCACCCAGCCCAUGGUCCAUUGCUAUUGGGGGCUGGGACGAUGCACUCCCACACCGCACUGUUGCAUUUGAAGCCGGAGCCAAACCCGAUCAACCAUAUGCGAUCACCCUCAUGCAUACGACCCUUGGCCUCGAUAUAUGCUAGCUCAUACCAAACUGAACUGCUGGAUAUGUUUCCGAAGCGGUGCAGCGUCAUUCUUGAUGGCUCAACAUGCUUGUCUGACAGGCCAAGACUGCGUUGAACCUCGUCGAUAACCGCAGACCCACCAGCGUGUAUGCAGAAAUGCUCAAAAGCCGUGAGGAAGUUGGGGACGUACAACCUAACACGCCCGCUGGAUAGUUUUUGUGCCACGAAAGACAUUGCAAAGAAAAGUUGCUCGGAGAUUGGGAGCACGAUUGGUGCAAUGGCGGUGAUGUUGGUUUUCAAAGUGCGGCCGGCGACAUCGAUAAGGUCCAUGGAGAGACCGGCACCCUUGUUCCCCUUGCCAUCCUCCUCCUGGUAUAUGGACCGGUAUGACUUAUCAUCCGCCGCGGUGGUCGUACGCACGGUGGACGUGAGCCGGAAUCGGGCAUUGGCGGCGGACGUGGACAGCAGCACGGCCGCCCCGCCCAUGCGGAACAGGCAGUACGGCAGCAGCAUGGGCCGCUCGUUCCCGGCAUAGAGGUGGGGCGACAGGGUCUCCGUAGACACGACCAACGCACGUGCCCCUUGGGGUGACACCCGCAGGAGGUUCCUCGCGAGCUCUACCGAUAUCAGCCCGGCGCUGCACCCCAUCCCAGAUAGGUGCACGCUGCGGAUGUCGCCUCGCAGCUUGUACUUGUUUACGAUCAUGUCGGUGAAGGAUGGCGUGGGGUUGAAGCAGCUGCAGUUGACGACGAGUAUGUCGAUGGUGUCAAGAGAGACGUUCGUCUUGGAAAACAGCUCGUCCAUGGCUGAGAAGACCACGAGCUCAGCCUCCUCGCGGGCGGCCUCCAGUGUGCAAUACUCGUGCGCUGGAAUGUAGUGGGUUGGUGCGGGCGCACAAGUCUCGUCCCCGAGGCCUGAGCUCUCGAGAAGACGUGACAUGAAUCGAAUGCUCUUCUCAUUGAAUGUUGGCAUUUGGCGUGUGUGCUCCACGAAUGUGGCAAUUGGGAUGCGGUAAUGAUGAGUGCCAUGGAAGCAGGCGUAGUCGAUCAGGUACACCUUCCGUGGUCGCGAUAUUAGAUACAUGGUGAAUGCAGAGACAGGGAGGAAACCAAACAAGAAGAGGUGCGCCGGAGUAAGGGCUUGGAGCCGACCCACGAUCUCAUCGGGCUCGAGCCUUCCCGCCACAACCACAGUGGUUGCGGCUAUUGGUAUGGUGAUCAUGGCUAGGAAGUUGUCUACGACCAGCUUGUAGACAUAUUUGAGGUGCUUGCGAAUUUCUGAUGAACUCAUGGUGUGGAAGCCCAAACAUGUGUUUCUAUGCGUGUGAAUGUGAGGAGAGACCGGUGUUACAUAUAACAACUAAUUUUAUUGCUACCAACUACCGACCAACUAAUUGUACAGAUAACCGUACCUCUCUGAUGCAAUAAAGUCCUAAGUUUCGCGUAAAAAAAACUAAUUGUAUAAAUGGAUUUUUUUUAGAAAAGGAGGGUGUACUCCUCGCCUCUGCAUCUGACGAUGCAUGCGGCCAUAUUAUUAAUUGUUCCCAAAGACCUUACUAGGUAAUACAUCAAAAAGUCUGAAGCCACCAUCUUGGCAACGCCUGUUGCUACUCCUAUCCCUUAAUGAAGGGGUGCCGAACGUCUGAGCCUAAUACCAAACAGACAUCACACCAAAACCUAACAUCUAAAGCCGGAUGCCUCAUCCAAGCCACUACCUAGACUGGGUCACAUACCGGUCCGGCACACUCCCGUGAGCACCGCACGCUGCAAGGGCCGUCACCUCCAUCUUCCAUCGAUCCAUCCUCAGAGCAGACCCGAUGCAUCGACCUUACUAGGCCUCUCUGCCAUCGACGCCACCAUGACGCUAGAAAGCGUCCUCCUCCUGCGUGAGUCCAUCUCCGUCCAUCGGACGCCGAGUCUCCACUGCGCCACGUUGCCGAGAUCCGCCGCCAUCAUUGCGUAAGAUGAAGCACCGCUCCACCAAAGACGCCUUCCACUGAUCCCUCGAGCCGAAAUGCAACCUCCAAGAAUGACACCCCCAAAAGGGAAACGGCGUAAGAGCGCCGCCAUCAUCCGAUCGAACUGAUCUAGGGUUUCCUCCGUAGGUAGCGGAUUGAGGUCUUGAGCUUCUCCACGGCGUUGCCUUCAGGAACGAUAUGACACAGAAAAGCGUCGCCAUCGCCGGUCUUGGCACCUAGCCGUGAGCAGGGCUUUCACCCGGAUCUGCUCGACGAACCUUCAUCCAGCAUCUUGUGCAUCUGAACUCGAUCACCCCCGGCACCUCAGCGUCGCCGAUGCUCCAGUCACCACCGCUUCACCUCGCGCCUCCACGCCCUGGCCAUAUGCUCAUGGUGCCCCUGCCACACCGCACCGGCGGAGCCUGGCCACCAGUUGCACCACCACCUCUGUCCCGCAGGGUCGCCGGCCACUCCCCAGUCAACAGCUUCCAUCCCCGAUCAGAUCUGAGCGUUCCCAGAUCCGUCGCCAGAAGACGGCGCCCAUGGUAGGAACCACGUGGAGCAACCAGCGAAGGAGACCGCGCAGUCGAAGACCUGGACGUCGGGAGAAUGCAUCGGGCAUGGGGGCAACCUGCUCCCCUACGACGCUGACAAGGGGAUGGAGCCCCAGUCCCCAACCCACUCACCAGACCACGAGUAGCCCCGCCGCCACCAAGGCCACAAGGGCGUUGCCCAGUGGCGCCCGUCGGUGGCGGCGAGGGGAAGGGCGGCGAGCGAGGAACCCCUAGGCGGCGGCGGCGCGCUCCCGAGUCGCCUGCGGGGUGGGGCGACCCAAGCCUCUGUCUCCAAUUGUACAAAUGGAAUAUGGUACAUGUUGUAGCAUUAUGCGAUCACAUGUUUUUUCUUCUAUAUAUACCAUUCAACUAACCAUAUCGUGGCAGAUAGCCCCAAAACCAAUUAAGGCACCCAAUCCAUUCUUCUAAUUAACGUGCACGCCGUGCAAACUAGAUAUUCUGGCGCUGCUACUGUUUCUACCAGGUGGUUCUUCUCCCCGGAUGCACCAUGAACUUGGGUCCGGUUGGGUAAGUGCACAACUACUAGCUUUGUUUUGGCAGUUGAAAGAGUACACCAUUGGACACGAGAACUACGGUUAGUCAUUUUCCUCCUUUCCGCUUUGGGUAAGAUGUCCAUUUAGUCCUUACUAUUACAGCACACUACCUAUUUGGACACCUCUCAUCUCGCAUCUUUUUGUACACGAUCAUGUCGUCCAUGGAUGGGUGACACGCUGCAAUUGGUGACGGGCGGUAACUCAAUUAUUUUUUGGAUUUUUUUCGUCCGUUAUUGAAGCUGCUUCUAAAGUUAAAGUAAAUUAUCCACCCCACCACCUGUAAGUGAAGAAAAAACUUUUCAUUAAUUGUUUCUCUGAAUUUUUGGUGUGUCACUGAAAGUAGCGUUAAAGUUGAAGUAAAUUACCCACCCCGCAUCAAGGAUCAAGUCCAACAUCGACCCAUUGUGAGCAUGUUAGAAUGCACGUGUCUUACGUCCGCAUGGAUGGUGCAUAAAUAUUCAAAUACAUGUAUAUACAUGGAGUGCGAAUAUUUGAAACUUGAUUUGAAGACUACAAUUUUAUUACCCGUUGCAACGAACGGACCCUUUUGCUAGUUAUAAGCAAACAAAUGGCUUUACCUUUUGAGUGCCUGUUUCAGGUGUAUCCACUACUUUUUGGAGAAAGACAUUCAUCUGGCUUUUUAUGUAAAUCACCAAAAUGAAGCAAAAAUGACAACACUGGUAAGUCACCAUUUUUUUACAACACACAUGUUAAAAUUUAUUGUCCAUCUUUCUCCAUCAAUUUUAACUUUUAAAUAUUAGUUGGAGCAUGAAUUCAAUCACACGCACACACAUUGAGGAAAUCCGAUUUACCGGUGUCUCCACUACUUAUUGCCGCGGCCUUGCUUUUGGAGACUUAAUAUGCACUGGAUAGCGGUGGAUGCACCCAGCCCAUGGUCCAUUGCUAUUGGGGGCUGGGACGAUGCACUCCCACACCGCACUGUUGCAUUUGAAGCCGGAGCCAAACCCGAUCAUCCAUAUGCGAUCACCCUCAUGCAUACGACCCUUGGCCUCGGUAUAUGCUAGCUCAUACCAAACUGAACUGCUGGAUAUGUUUCCGAAGCGGUGCAGCGUCAUUCUUGAUGGCUCAACAUGCUUGUCUGACAGGCCAAGACUGCGUUGAACCUCGUCGAUAACCGCAGACCCACCAGCGUGUAUGCAGCAAUGCUCAAAAGCCGUGAGGAAGUUGGGGACGUACAACCUAACACGCCCGCUGGAUAGUUUUUGUGCCACGAAAGACAUUGCAAAGAAAAGUUGCUCGGAGAUUGGGAGCACGAUUGGUGCAAUGGCGGUGAUGUUGGUUUUCAAAGUGCGGCCGUGAGGAAGUUGGGGAUGUACAACUUAACACGCUCGCUGGAAAGUUUGUGAGCUACGAAAGACAUUGCAAACAAAAACUGCUCAGAGGUUGGGAGGACCAUGGGUGCAAUGGCGGUGAUGUUGGUUUUCAGGGUGCGGCCGGCGACGGGGAUAAGGUCCAUGGAGAGACCGGCACCCUUGUUCCCCUUGCCAUCCUCCUCCUGGUAUAUGGACCGGUAUAUGUCCGGAGAAGCCGUGACAUGAAGCUGAUGCUCCCCUCAUUGAAAGUGGGUACUUGGCGUGCGUGCUCAAUGAAUGAGGCAAAUGGGACGCGGUAGUGAUGAGUGCCAUGGAAACAAGCGUAGUCGACGAGAUACACCUUCCGUGGUCGCGAUAUUAGAUACACGGUGAAUGCAGAGACGAGGAGGAAGCCGAACAAGAAGAGGUGCGCCGGCGUAAGGGCUCGGAGCCGACCCACGAUCUCAUCGGGGCCGAGCCUUCCCGCCACAACCACGGUGGCUGCGGCCAUUGAUAUGGUCAUCAUGGCUAGGAAGUUGUCUACGGCCAGCUUGUAGACAUAUUUGAUGUGCUUGCAAAUUUCUGAUGAACUCAUGGUGUUGAAUCCCAAACAUGUGGUUCUAUGCGUGUGAAUGUGAGGAGAGACCGGUCGUACAUAUAACAACUAUUUUUAGUGCUACCAACUACCAACUAAUUAGUUGUACAAAUGAAAUAUCGUACAUGUUGUAGCAUUAUGCGAUCACAUGUUGUUUUUCUAUAUAUACCAUUCAACUAACCAUAUCGUGCCAGAUAGCCCCAAAACCAAUUAAGGCAGCCAAUCCAUUCUUCUAAUUAACAUGCACGCCAUGCAAACUACUCCCUCCGCGCGGAAAUACUUGUCAUUAAAAUGGAUAAAAGAGGAUGUAUCUAGACGUAUUUUAGUUCUAGAUAUAUCUCUUUUUAUCUAUUUUGAUGACUAGUAUUUCCGGACAAAGGGAAUAGUAGAUAUUCUGGCGCUGCUACUGUUUCUAUACAAGGUGGUUCUUCUCCCCCGAUGCAAGAGUCACAAGAGCAUGGACUAGGGUUCAGUUGGAAAGUGCAGAUAACACGACUUGAAUCUUCAGUUCACUUAUUCUCAGAAUGCCCACUGGCGUUGGACAUCUGGAGAAAGGUGGCGACAUGGAGAGGAUGCAGUGCUCUAAAUCCGGAUAACUGGAACAGAAACGGCUGCACCACUAUAAGAGUUCAGAGUAUAUUGCAGUAGGACGUCACAGGGCAGGAACAUAAGGCAAUAAGAUCGAUGAUCAUGCUGGUUUGCUGGGAGAUUUGGUAGGAGAGCAAUGCCUGCACUUUCCGAGGGAAGAUCGCGUCAACGGAAGAUGUCAUCAGAAGCAUCAGACAAAAUCUCAAGCUUUGGCAACUAGCUAGGGCAAAGGGAUUGGAGCACCCCCUAGGGGCACCAGACGGGAGAGAUUAGCUUAGCUUUCGCCUAAGGGCGCGCUCUCUUUUCUUUCUUUUUACUUUUGUGCUCGCAUCUAGCACCCAUUCAAUCACUUGAUCGAACAUUGUUUCCCGCUCUUCUGCUAAAUCAAUUGAACGCCAGCAACAUGCUGGAUCUUUUAAAAUAAAAUAAAAAUAAUGCUAAGUUAGAAACACUUAUUUUGGGAUGAGGUAAAUACACUAGGGGUGCCUCAACUUGUUUUGCACGGUCAGUUUAGUGUCUAAAGUUGCAAAAUACACGAAAUUGAUGCUUAAACUUGUUCGGCUGUGCAAAUACGGUGCCACCUUCUGUAUCUGGGCGUAUGCUCUGCCCACGUGGCAUGACAACCCCACAUGUCAGUGGCAGAGAGCAAGGAACGUGAUGGGUGGCCUGCGCUUGAGAUUGUUUUUGUAGGAAACUCCUCAUAUUUAAUUUAAUCACGUAGGAAAAACCUAUGUCAGUAUAAGCGUAUGACAGACAAAAACUAAAGAAAACGUGUGAGUCCACACCAAACUCUGCUGAAUAGGCAAUCAUGAAGUUGAACUGUACAUAUUGCGUUGUUAUGCAAAAGGUAAUUCUUCUAUAAAAAUAUAAAGGGGGCGCUUGCCUCUGUGAUCUCGCCUUUUUUGUAACUUUGCAACACGGGCAUAUUGUGCCCGUUUUUUGAACUUCAAAGAAACAGAUUUUUACAGUGCAAAAAAUUCUGAAUUUUUUUAUAUGUGCACAUAUAGAAGUGUAAUACAUCGUGUGAAUUUUCAUCAAAAUCUAUGCUUGUAUGUGAGAGAUAAGAAAAAGACAAAUACAUGCAAAAAUCAGCUCUUUUUUUCUCCGGAUUUUUGUCUUUGUUGCAGAGUAUAAUAUAACAUCAUUUCAGAUGAAAUUUGACAGUCACUUAUAGCACAUGCUUAUGUUUUUGUCAAAUAAAUAAAUAAAUUGUAACUUUUAAGUGACGGUUUUUACCCUUUCAAAAAAGAAGCGCUCAGUGGCCACCGUGCUCCAAAAAUCCGUUGUGGUCGCUAUGUACCUCUUCAAGCGAUUUUGUUUCCAUAUGGCACUCGUAUUGGUCCACACAAGUUUUAUUUUUACUUUUUCAAGUUUGUGGUUAUUUUUUUUUUUACUAUUUCUAAAAAUAAAUGUUCGAAAAAAAGUACAAACUGCCAUAAACUUAGAAGAAAGUUUUAGUGCAUUUGAAAAAUGUUCAACAUGUUUUGGGAAAAGUUUUCACAUGUAUUAACAAAUUAUAAGUGUUUUUGAAAAAUAUUUGCCAUGCAUUAAAAAUGACAAUGUGUAUUUUACAAAAGGCUCAACAUGUUUUUAGAAAAUGUUCAACGCUUAUUAAAAUUGUUUUGAAUAUCCUUAAAUUUCUACAAACAUGGUUGACAUGUUUGGAUACAUUGUAGAAUUUAAUAUUAUUAGAAAAUAAUUUUUAAUACAUGUUGAAUAGUUUACAAAAUACAAAGCUGUCAAAAUUUUAAUAAUUGGGUAUUCUAGAAAUAGAGUGAAGAUACACAAUAAUUGUGUGUGCUUCUGGUGCAGAAUGAAGAUAUAUGAAUUUACACAAUAGUAUUUAAUAUGGGUUCAACUAUUUAAAUCAACAUAAAAUUCUGAAGAAGUUCAUUUACCUCUUCAAAGUACACACAAAAAGAAUAAAAAAGAUUUGAAAACAAAAGGUAAUUUAAUAUUGGUAAUUAUUGUAUUUUUAUAUGGGAAAAAUUGUGUGUCAUAAAACUAAACAUGAACUUGGUAAAAAUAAAAAAUAAAAAGUGGUAAUAAAUAAAAAAUAAAUGAUGGAUAAACGCGUCAAUCAGUCUACAAUAGCUUUAUUGCUAACAUUCUUAUGGAAAGCAAAGUUCAGCUGCAUGGCUAGAUCGUGCCGGUAGUUGACCAAGACGUGCCUCGUUCGAAACUCCUCUGUGUUUUUUUUUUCAUUUUAUUUCUAUCUAGCAUACCUUAUACUUCAAGACAUUCCUGCAUGAUUAAAUAAAAUUCGAGUUUGGUUUCUGUAAAAUAAUUCCUCACGAGCGGGCACAUGGGCCACUGCCGCACUAGCACGCCGCGCGGACAACACGUACGUUGGAAUAUGGAUGAAGGCACCGUAUUUGCACGAUCGGACAAGUUUGAGCACCAGUUUCAUGUAUUAUACAACUUUAGGCACCAAACUGAUAGCACAAGACAAGUUUAGGCAUCUCCGAUGUAUUUAACUCUUUUGGGAUAGAAGAAGUAUAUCAAUGGACAUGAGAACACCGAUUCACGCGCCAAAAAAAAGGAGGUAAUAUCAUUGGCAGUCAUAUAACUUGCGUUGGAUGUUUAGUUUAGUGCUAAAACUUUAAAAAUAUAGAUUUGUAGUCAUUUAACUUGUUGUGUGGUGCAAAUGCGGUGCUUUUCUACAAUAACUGGCGUAUAACUGCCUGCGACUAUGAGAGUGGCCCAUAUGUCAGUUAAAUGACACUUGAUGGUUUUAAAGGAUAACUUCCGUUCAUAUCCCUUUUCUUAAAUUAAAACAUGUGGGUCUGUCAGCAAAAAUGGGCUACGAUCAGUGCAACCCAUUUUGCACGUUUGCUUCUUUAAGAAUUUUAUAUGUAAAUAAAAAUUUAAAAAUAUUGUACAGAAACUGUACUGCUUUUUUUUGACAAAAAUUGUAUUGCUCAUAGAUGACCAAAUUAACAUAAGAUAAUGGAGCCGCUAGGUCUCAACCAUAUGAGCAAAAUUAACAUAAAAAGGGAGACGCUUGGUAAUGAACCAGCAACCAACGAGUAGAACACAAGACGAUCUAGCGACUACACACCUUUCAAGUUCUAUUGUCUAAUGUGGAUAACAAUAUUUUUUGAACCAGGAUGCAUGUGGAGCUUAAAUGGGCUGCAUAUACUACAGCCAAUUUUGCACACGCUAUUUUCUUUAACAUAGAUGUAGAACAUAAGUAAUAAAGUCAUGUUAAAAUAUUUCUCCCUCACAAAAAAAUGUUAAAAUAUUUCUGUGUUAAAAAUAUUAUACAUACAGAAGAUGAUUAGUAAAUAAAAAAUUAUAUAAGUCUAAGUAUUAUAUAGAAAAUGUUUAGUAAAACAUAAGUAAUAAAAGCAUUUAAGAUAUUCGUAAAACUUAAGUAAUAAUAUUAUGUUCAAAUAUUGGUGUGUUAAAAAUAUUAUAUAUACAUAUGGUGAUUCGUGAAUAAAAUAUUUAAAUAUAAACCUGUGUACUAUGUUAGACAUGACAGAACAUUCAUAUCAAGAGUUUAAAGUUUAAAUUAUGAAUAUUUACACAAGCAUGGAACUAUACAAAUGUGCGUUCAAUUACAGAAAUGUUUGUACAAUUAAAAUAAUAUUGUUGAAUUAUAUUUUACAAGUAUUUGUAUUAUUUGAAUUAUCUAAACAUUUUUGUAAUUCAUAAAUAUAUUGUUUUGAAUAUAUAAAUACUAAUUUUAAAAUAAUACAUGAACAGUUCUGAAAGAAAUUUAUUCCUUUGUAUCUACAAUAUUUAUAACACACAAAUUUUAAACAUUAUUUUUAAUACUAAGAUCAUUAUUUACAUAAAAAUUUCUAAAAUAUAUAAAGGUGCAUAUGGCCCUUCCCAGUGCUCCAAGGUGUACAGAUGUUAAGAAUGUCAUAUAGGCAAAAAAGUGAUGUGGCAGAACAAUUAAAGAGGAGAGGGAGUAUUACGGUGACACUAGAAGGAAACGAUGGUAAGCACGUGGACCUAUGCAAAAUGACUAUCAAUUAAUGCAUAAAGGUGUUUUGGUGUUAAAAUAUUAAAUAAGGCAUGCUUAGCUAUACAAGUUAAGCACCAAUGCAUUGGGAAGAGUAGUUGCUAAUCUUUUUAAUGCAUUUAGCACUCUACCUUUUUUUAUCUUUUUUUUAGAGCUACCAUUUUUUUUACCUUAGCACCAAUGCAUUGGAAGAGGCCUAAUGGGCUGCACUGACCAUAGUUCAUUAGAGUUGACAGGCCCACGUGUUAGAAGCGAAGGAAUAUAAAAUGUAGUUAUCCUUUAGAAUGACCAGAUGCCAUUCUGUGUGGUGGUUACCGCGUGCGUGCCCUGCCAUCACCCUAUAUUUUUUUAUACACUUUACUGACAGUGGGUCUUACCUGUGCUUUUCUGUGUACUUAAAUAAACUUCAAUAAAAUCAAGGAGUUAUCUGAAACAUGUACUCCAGCCACUAACAAUGGGCCACUCCCAUGCUGGCAUGCCACAUGGACAGCUGUAUGCGGGAUACAGAAAAAAAGCACUGUAUUUGCACCACACAACAAGUUAGAUGAUCAUAAAUCCGUAUUUUUAAAGUUUUAGCACCAAACUGAACAUCCAACACAAGUUCUAUGACUGCCGGCGAUAUUAUCUAAAAAAAAAGAGAACACCGAGUAGCCAUUUUCCUCGUUUCCGCUUUGGGUACUCCCUCCGUUCGGGUGUAUAAGUCAUUCGCGUAGUUCUAGGUCAUCAAUUUGAGGAAUUAAAUAUGUGUUAUAUGUCAUGAAAAGUAUACCACUAGAUUUCCACACAGAUGUAGUUUCUAAAUAUAUAUUUUUUGUCACAUAUAAUACAUAUUUAGAUAGUUAAAUUAUCGACCUAAAACUAUGCGAAUGACUUAUACACCGGGGCGGAGGUAGUACUUACUAUUACUACAACACACGACCUCUUUAGUAACGGGCGUGGAUUAGCAUAUACUCCCUCUGUCUCAGAAUAAAUGUUUUUAACUUUGUACUAAUUUUAAUAUAAAGUUGUAUUCUCUUCGUUUCUUUUUAGUCUAUAAAUAAGAUUUGGUCAAAGUCAAACUUUGUAAAAUUUGACCAAUUUUAUAAAAAAAUACCAAUAUCUACAAUACUAAAACUAUAUGGUAUGAAAACUAAUUUCAUGACGCAUCUAACAAUAUUGAUUUCAUAUUGUGAAUCUUGAUAUAUUGUUUUCUAUAAACUUAGUCAAAGUUAACACAGUUUGACUUUGAUCAAAUCUUAUAUGCAGACUAAAACAAAACGGAGGGAGUGCUAGAGUUGAGACACCUAUUUUGAAACGUAAGAAAUAUUAGGUAAGUCAACUUCUGGCCUUGAAGCUUUGUGAACUGGAUUUUUCUCGUCCAGGUUAAUUAAUGAGUCUCCUUUUCCUCGUGAAAACAGGGUAGUACGAUAGUUAAAUUAGGAGAGAGAAAGAUUAAUUAUCAUGUUUCACAAUAAAACCAUGCUAAACCAAACGGUUAAAACCCGAAAUUGCUACACCUACGAAAGAGUUUUACAUAUCCUACGUAAACUCGCUUGGCCUAAGAGCAACUCCAACGGCCGCGCGAAACGACGCGCGCACGGUAAAUACAGACUUUAGCGCGUGGGGCGUUUUGCCGUGCUCCAGCGGCGGCGGGAAAACCACGUGCGUGGAACCGCUAGCGCGCGCGCGAAAAGGCGCCAGCUCGUGCGCCAUCUUUUGCACGCCGCUUCCGGCGCGCCUAUAAAGUGCGGCGCGCGCCACGCGCCUCUCCACGCCUCUUCUUCUCAUCUUCCUCUCUCUUUCUGCCACCCGCCGCUCCAGCGUCCCGCCACCGACGCGCCCCGCUACCGACGCGCCGCCAUGCCGCCGCGCCGUCGAGGAGCGUCCGGCUACCGUUGCGUCCGCCUGCGCCCCAAUGGCGGCUACUACGCGGAGAUACGCUCCGGCGAUCUCCGGCUCGGCCUCGGCACGUACGGAACGGCGCGCGAGGCCGGCCGCGCGUACGACGCGGCGGCGUGGCGCCUAGGCCGGCCGCGCGGCCAGAUGAACUUUCAGGAUGUCUACACGCUCCAGCAAGCGCUCGACCGUGCCACGCCGCCGCGUCUGAACACGGCACAAGACCGUGCGGAGCACGCCGAGCGGCAGCGCCGCCUCCUCGUCGCCCAGGAGGACGAGUGGGUCAUGGCGGAGUGGCGCCACCGCCACCUGGAGGACGUCGCCUACAAGCAGUCCUACUGGGCAAGGCGUCGCGAGGAGGACACGCGAAGGCGCCGCGAGGCGCGGUUGGACAGGCGUCGGUGCAAGGCGUUGGCUAACACGCAGUCCGAUCUCGUUGAAGCAGGUGGGCAGUCGUUCUUCACGCCGGAUGAUGAUCGGUGGUUGGACAUCUGGCUGGAUACCUCGGACGACACCGCCGAGGAGGAUGACGAUAGUGAUGAUAGCGACUUAGACUAGUUUUUUUAUGCAAUCUAUCUCGUGUUUUAUCGUUUGUCAUUUUUAAUUAUUAUGCAAUCUAUGUUUCGGAUGUAAAAUACCUUUAUAUCGUUAAAAUCUAUGCAAUCUAUUUAUUUUUCAAUAGUCUAGAAUAAACGCGCGCUGUAUUUUAGCGCGGCUGCUGAAGCGGGCACAGCACAUUGUGCCAAACCAGCCGAUGCACGCGCGGCAUAUAUGUUUUUUGCGUGCGACGCGACCGGCGCCUGUUGAGAUACUCUAAACGAACGAGAUUUUGGUGCGUACCGAACUCGCUGGCCAAAAGAGUCUUUUUGCAUUGCUAGUGACUCGGCGCCCCAGCUGUAGUGUAGUGUGGCAAAAAUGAACUGUGUUUGAAAUUUUUUCACUCCACUGACUUUUUAGUGUGACGCUCGACAGUCAGGCGUCACACUAUAUUGUCCAGCGCCUAAUUGACAGGCGCUACACGCCUGUCUAGCGUCGCACUCUGAAUUGUCUAAAAAUUAUUAAAUUAGUGUGCAACGUUUAAGAGCUAAGCGCUGCACUAUUUGCAUUAUCCGUGCCGUGUUUUAGUUUAGUUUUCUGUACCGUGGCAGAGACAGGCCUGCCGCUGCUACGGGAUGCUCGUCAGCAGCGUAGCUUGGCUUUUGUCAGUGAUUUGUAUGGUCUACUGCUAGCUAUAGUAUGGUCUACUGCUAGCUGCUAUAGUAUGCUAGCCGGCUAGGCUGGAUGAGAUUUAUUUUAUCUCUUUCUUGUUUCUCCAGUAGAUGUCUGCUCCCCUCCCAUGUACGGCGCUGCAACAUCUUUCUUGCGUUUCAUCAACUCUUGGAUUUUUCUGCCCUCUCUUUACCACUAGUGGCAUUUGCUACAUAAUUUGAUUCUAAUUCAUCUAUCUACAUUACACCCUCUGCACCGCUGCGUACAUGCAAGUAGUGCAGCGCCUAUGAUCUAGGCGCUACACUAUACUGUGUAGCGCCUAGCUCUUAGGCGUUGCACAUUGACUUAGCAAUUUUUAGAUAUUCCGGAGUACGAUGCUAGCCAGAUGUGUAGCGCCUGUCAGUCAGGCGCUACACAGUGUAGUGUGACGCCUAGCUGUCGGGCGCUACACGAAAGAGUCAGCAGAGUGAAAAAAUUUCAAAGACAGUUCAUUUUGUAAAUUCUUUUUGUCCACAGGUUAAAAUUGUCGUUUUUGCCGUGUAGUGUAGGCUCGCCUCACCAAAAGAUCAUCCCCACAACCAGCACGUAGGUCUAGCAUUACUCGUUAAAACCAAGUGAAAGGAGAUUUAUUACUAGCAGAUCCCAAUCAGGGGAAGAGAUUACGCGGUACGCGCUGGCCAAAAGAGUCUUUUGGCAUUGCUAGUGACUCGGCGCCCCAGCUGCCAAAAGAUCAGCCCCACAGCGGCGGUUGCAAUGGAAACUGCGACCCAACAACCAACCUCCCUCCCUCUCCAAGCAGCCGCAACGCUCACCAGAACCCAAACACGCCAUCACCGCCGUCACACCAAACGCAGCAAAGCAGAGCAGAGGGCGAAGGGUCGACAUCGGAUCGGCAUGAUCCUGGUGGCGGUCAUGGCGGAGCUGCUGGAGGAGUACACGGCGGCGGUGGCGCGCGCCCUGGAGCGGCUGCUGUCCGCGGCGCCGCUGCGCAUCCUGCCGCGCCGCGUGCGGUUCGUCGUCCUCCGCCCCCUCCCCUUCGCCUCCCCCUCGGCGCCCGUGCCGCCGCCGCCCCCGCACGCCGUCCCCGUUCUGCUCGCGCGCUGAUCAUGGGCGGAUCCAGCUCAGCUCAUGCUCUGAGCUCUGAACUCAAGUGAAGUGAGGCUGCUUCUUGUACAUACUCCGGUCCGGUUACUGGCCCAAUAACAUGGUUAGCUAAAAGAAAGUACUCUGCUUCUGAUGUUUGGCUGUCCUAGAGAUGUUGGGGUACCUUGUAAUUUCUUGCCUGUUCUUUGACCUUGCGGAGUAGUCAGUCAUGGCUCAACUGGUGAUGAGAUAUGUAAAUUUCUGUAUAUUCCAGCUUGUCGCUUUCAGAUGUAUUUCGAUCUGUAGACUGUUGAUUUGGAACAAAAAUUCCGAAAGAGUCGAUCAACUGCUAGUCUGCGUACAAACACUGUACAUGCAACCCGCAAACCCGGGGGGUAAAAACCAUAUUAUGCCUCGUUAGAUUGCAGUGGGUUUGAGGGGUAUUAAAGGGGAUUGUGAGGAUUAUAUCCCCUAUUCCCCUGUAAGUUAAAUUCCUCCCCAAUCCUUUUCAAGCCUCUCCAAUCCCCUUGGGAAGAGAUUAAAUUAGGGCAAGUGUUUGGAAAAAAAUAAAUUCCCAUGAGUUCAUAUAAAUAAAUGAAAUAAUUGUACCAUUCAUAAGGCCGGUACGAGUACGGGAAGGCAAUACACGUACCACGUACCUGCAUAUCUAUAUACUAAUUUCUUCUAACAGAUAGGUCCCUUGUUCGCGUAUCGUUUUUUUUCUUCCUAUCAAAGAAAGAGGCCAUUUCGCCUAUGCGCCAUCAGGGAGUUCCUUCGGCGGCUCCCCUCCACCGAUGACCUCUGGAUUUGGCACUCCUUUGGAUUGCUAGGAACUCACAAUGACAUCAACGUCUUGCAGUGCUUGAAUGUCUUGCCCAAGCUUGUUGAAGGUCAUGCUUCUUUGAUGAACUUCGAGGUCAAUAGACGCAACUACAACAAGGAUACUAUUUAGCAGAUGACAUCUAUCCAAGAUGGUCAACAUUUGUGAAGACUAUCUCAAACCCUGUGCCAGGAGGCAAGAACUCCUACUUUGCUAAAUGUCAGGAGGCUUGCAAGAAGGAUGUCAAGCGGGCAUUUGGUGUGCUCCAAUCUUGAUUUACUGUUGUCCGGUACCCCGCUCUGACCUGGUUGAAAUCUCAGAUGUGGGAGGUGAUGAAUUACCGUGUCAUCUUUCGUAACAUGAUCAUUGAAAGCGAGCAGGACUAGCCAGUGUUUGACACUGAACCAUAUUUCAGGCAGGGUCCUCUUGCAACUGUUGAUCACCAGGUACCGGCAGCAUGGGCUGUCUUCCUUAAUAUGCGUCAGGAGAUCCGAGACCCACAGGUGCAUCAAGAAUUGUAGCACGAUCUGGUGGAGCACCUAUGGAGGCUUAAGGGCAACACCUAGUUCGAUGUGUUUUAAUUUGUGUUUGAAUUAUGAGCUUGCUUCAUUGAACUAUUUGAUUUUUAUUAAUUUUUGUUAUGAACUACUUUGAACUAAAACCACGACGAGUAAUUUGAAACGGAGGGAGUAUGNNNNNNNNNNNNNNNNNNNNNNNNNNNNNNNNNNNNNNNNNNNNNNNNNNNNNNNNNNNNNNNNNNNNNNNNNNNNNNNNNNNNNNNNNNNNNNNNNNNNNNNNNNNNNNNNNNNNNNNNNNNNNNNNNNNNNNNNNNNNNNNNNNNNNNNNNNNNNNNNNNNNNNNNNNNNNNNNNNNNNNNNNNNNNNNNNNNNNNNNNNNNNNNNNNNNNNNNNNNNNNNNNNNNNNNNNNNNNNNNNNNNNNNNNNNNNNNNNNNNNNNNNNNNNNNNNNNNNNNNNNNNNNNNNNNNNNNNNNNNNNNNNNNNNNNNNNNNNNNNNNNNNNNNNNNNNNNNNNNNNNNNNNNNNNNNNNNNNNNNNNNNNNNNNNNNNNNNNNNNNGGGAGUAUGUGAUAAAAAAUAGUUUUUUGUUAAAUUUGUGCUGAAUUUGAGUUGGAACUCGGCGGCUCGGGGCGGGUGGGGGGGGGGGUGGAGAACUUGGGGGGCGGCUGGGAACUAGAGCCCCCCACGCCAAAAUUAGCACAGGUAAGCCCCUAAGAGGCGCUAUUUUCCGUCUAAAACGUUUUUGGGGAACCGAACGGCUGAAGAUGCUCUAACCAGCUCAGUUGGCGCCCUAAUCUUGUUAGUUGGUGAGAGACAUGUCUACUUAUCAAGAACGGCGUGUCUUGGCCAAUAGGUCAUCGAUUGUCGAGAAAAUUGGCGUGUGUCUUGGCCAGGCUGUCCAUUCACCUUUUUUCAAACUUGUUCAGAAACUCAAUUUUUUUGGUCAGUUUAAAUAAUGUUCAUGCUUUCAAAAACUGUUCCUAUUUUCUAAAAAAUACUACACAAAUAGAAUAUGUUUAGGGAAAUAAAAAAUAGUUUCGAUUUUUUUUGUAUUUUUUGAAAUUCCAAAUUUUUAAUGUUUUUAAAAAUUAUUUGAUUUUUUUUAAAAAAAUUCGUGUUCAAAAUUAUGUUUGAGUUUUGACGUUUUGAGGAAAUUUGGAAGGCACAAACAUUUUUUUAAAUGCUAAUAUUGUUAAGUUUUUUAUUUUUGUUAAAAGAGCGAACAAUUUUUUGAAAUUUUGAACAAAUCCUUGUGUGUGGCAUCGUCUAUUGGAGGAGCUCCAAGUCACCGCUUUGAGCGCCGGUUAGGAAACUGACGGUCGUGCGCAUGCCAACGGCUGUAGCCAAAUAUUGCGCAAGCUCGCUCGCCCGCUCAGCAGCUUCGCACGCUCACUCGCUUUGCCCAUUAGCUUAGAAGAAAGUUAAUGAAUUUGAAAAGUUAAGAUGUUGGAAAUAUAGUUCACGAAUUUUAAAAUUAUUCAUGAGUCAAAUUUUAAACAGUUAAUAAAUUUAAAGAAAGUUCAUAAGUUUGAAAAAAAUGUGAAUCUAAAAAUUGAUAUGAGUUUAAAAUUUUAAAAUACUAUGAAUUUGGAAAAAGUUCAGGAAUUUAAAAAUUGUUCACAAGUUAAAAUUUUAAAAGAUUCAUAAAUUUUAAUAAAGUUCUCAUUUAGAAAAUUUUCACAUAUCUGUAAAUGUUUGCGUAUUUUGGAAAAUGUUUCACGAAUUUUUAAGAAGUUCACAAAGAAAUGUUAAAAUAAAAAAGGGAAAAUAAAAAAUAAAACUGUAAUGGAAAAACAAGGAGAAAAAAACCGAGCGGAAACCAUGCAUAAAAAAACAAUGCAUAAACACCAUGCAGAUCUGAACCGGAAAUGUGGACAGCAAGAAGUAAAAGAAGUGGUAGUCUGCAUAACAGGUUAUGUAUCCAGUACAAUAUCCUUUGUUAGGAAAUAUGCUGGUAACUGUGUUAGGAAAUAAGCUGGAGGUAUUUGGUUCAAAUCUCGGGUUGCGCAAUAUCCCUUGAACCUAAAAAAGGAAAAAAAAGUUAAUGGGCCGAGCCCAAGACAAAGCAUAUAAUAACCAACUCCUAUACGGUGUUUAUAUGAUUUUUUUUUGGGGGGUUGUACCGAAGCAGAGCUCAUGAUGCCAAGCUCUUUGGUAGAAGAUUCUCGAAAAAAAAAACUCUUUGGUAGAAAUCCCCAAUCCUACUGCUAGUUUUUGUUUUUUCUAACCGGACUCACACUCCCUUUACAUUAAUUUCCUAAUUGAAAUAUACAACCCAAUAACAGUGGCGCAAAGGGCGCACCCUCACGGUGUCCAUGUCAUCACAUGUGUACGACAAAAAAGUGGAUGGCGAAGCGGAAAAUGCAAAGGGAGGCCGAGCAUCAGGCAGGGCUUUAUCUUGUCCGUUCAUACCCACCAUUUGGAUUCCCACAUCGAUAUCCAUCUCACGCAUUCAGUGCAAGCUCGAAGGAACCUCUAUAAAUAGCAGGCGGAUGAGUUCACAUCGAUCCUAUCCCAUCACAAGCAAAGCAAAGCGAAGCCUAAUCGUGUUCGUGUUGGCCAUGGGGUUCAACAGAGCACAGUUGUUUGCUGCGCUGGCCCUGGGCUUGCUCAUCAUGAUCCACAGUAAGUUUAAAUACCAACGCCACACAACAUGCCCAUCCUGUUGCUAGUUAAAAAGAUCCAUCCAUUCUUGUGCUGAAAACAAGAAUGUAAUUCUGUGGUGCAGGUGCGGAGGCGGUUCAUCCACGUCCCCGGAUAUGCCACUCCCCAAGCCAUCUUUAUCGUGGCUCAUGCAACAACAGGAAAUGCGUGGAGGUGUGCCACCACGAGCACUUCACCGGCGGCUACUGCUCACGUAAAGGGAUUGUUAAAAAACUUCAUUGUGAAUGUACCAUAAAAUGCGACCAUCAUAGUCCUCCACCGCCGUCGGAAGUGCCGGAGCCGCCGUCUUCUGAACGGCCACCACCACCACCAAGAGUCAUGUAGGCGAGAAAAGUUUAUGGAGCCACUGAAAGGAUAAUAUUUGCGUCUCCAUGGAAAUGUCCAUUUUGUAAGGAACUAGACAGGAAUCAUUGAUCGAAUGAAAAUAAUUUGUAGUACCGAGACAAUAAUAAGAAAACCUCUUUCAUUUGAGACUUGCCUAAGGAACUUGUGGUCGGUUUACCAAACCGUCUCGGUUGCCAUGACUUCAUUUUUCAUAUUACCCACACUCAUGUGCUAUCAUAUAUCGUAUCAAGCCCUCAAUUAUCAGCGCUUGGUCGUCCUCGAGCACGUGACCAUCGACCUCCCUCCCCUACGAAUGUUUUGGCAACCGUCAGCAUGUAGACGUCCUGCAUAGCAUGGUCGUCAUCCAUAUUUGUGAAUGCUUGGUCGCCCAUGCCGCAAGCGCUUGGUGACCGUUGUCCAUGUUGGCAAACGCUGGUCGGCCAUGUUGCUGAGAGCUUGCUGGCAGUCACCAACUUCACCGAGAGCUUGCUGGCAGUCACCAACUUCACCGAGAGCUUGCUGACCGUCCUCGGCCGCGAGUGAUUUUGAAUUUAUUCGGCGCGAUUAACUGCCUUCCUAAUCAAUUAAUUUCAUUAAUGGCUCAAAUUAUAUGCAUGCUUUAUUAAUUGCCUGCCUUAUUAAUUGCCUUCCUAAUCAAUUAAUUUCAUUAAUGGCUCAAUUUUUAAAUUGAUUUGACUAAAAAAUCCUUAUUUAAAUGGACCUAAUUAAUUGCACAAGUAAUUAAUUGUCUAGAUAAAAUAAUUGUAGUAAUGGCUUGGUUUCCAAAUUGAUUCGGUGCUUGGUUUACAAAUUAUUUUUAUAUUAAUGAAUGUGUGCAAACGACUGCAUACACAUACACCUUUAAUAGUAGAGAUUUGAUAUUUGUCUUCGAGGCGGAUGAUCCAGUUGAGCUCGACUCGACACUCACUUGAAAAGAAAUAAGGUAAUUGUAAAACCUUUUAUAGCCCGGUCAUAAAAGAGCCGAAAUUAGCUAAGACUAGUUUGCUAAAUCUUGACUCUCCACAUAGUUCAAAUGAACAUAGUUGGCAUGUUAGUUGCAAUACCAGGAAUGGAACUAGAAUCAUUUGUUUACCUUAUUUCGGAAUUUAACUUGAUACUUUAGAAAAAUACACCGUGUGGCGAGCGUCCUAUAUUAAGAUGUAGGAAAACAUAUAAAGAUGAGUAAAAACUGGACGGCCUUUCCAACUAAACAUCCACGGUGACUUUUGUGUUUGCCAUUGUGGCCAUCUGAUGUCAUGCUCCACCAUCGCUGAAGUAAACACUGGAGAAAAAUGAGGCGGCUGACCAUCAUCCCAUGAACAAAAACACCAUCACCUGAUGGUUUUACUCUGUAGUAGCCGCGUACCUCUGAAGACAAGAUCAAAGUCUUCAGCGAACCUACAAGGUCAAGGGCACGCUCUAGGCCACCGUCGAACGUGGCCAAGGAAGACAUCCAAAUCUGCUCGCCACACACCCAAAUUUACCAUUGAUUGCAUUAUAGAUACUCCAUCCGUAUUAAAAUAUAAGAUAUUUUUUGACAAUAGGAGUACAUCGGUACAGAUACGUUGCAGAAAAGUAGAGAUGCAACUAAAUACGGUGCAAUUGAAGGCGCGUGACCCAGAUCACGAUGAGACUGUUAGAGAUUAAUCCAAACUAUGUAUUAGAGUUGGAGACGUGGCUUGCAUGCCAACGUGAGCGUCAAGUACUAGGAGUCCUAGUUUGAAUCAGUUUUGGAUAGCUAGGUUAGCUAGCUUCAGGUCGGUUUGGCCCCAUAUACAUAUACUAACACUUGCUUUUUAGGAAUACAAAGAAGUGCAAAAAAAUAUGGCCUCAAACAAGAGGGCAACCCCUCUUCGCUAAGACAUACUGCAUAGUUUAGCUCUUACUCCCUCCUUAGCGGUGCAUUAUAGUCAUCUUAAGUUGUGCACUGCGACCAAGGUGGAGGAAAAAUAAGAGAACUUAAUAUUUAUUUGGUAAUGAUUAGAAUUGCAUGCAAUGAACCGACCGCUGCAAGCCAUGCAAGGUAGUCUCAAGUCAUUGAAAGCAUACACGUCCCACAUCUCUUAUUAGUUGAUUUCUUUAUUCAUGUCAAGAAACAAAAAAGGGGUGCGAGUUAAUGUACCGCGCCUAAGCAUUUUGGGAUUAUUUGAUUUUUGUAAUGUGCCUAAUGCACCGAUACGGAUGGAGUAUGACAUUUGGGAUGCUAACCAUAUACAAUCAUUAUGAACCUUUUGCCAAUCACGUUGUUCUUUCUCCCUCUAGCAUUGGAGUCGUCCCAUCACUUUUACAACUAGUGGCAAACGAUCACAUAUUUCUAGAAUUGUCAAGCCAAUAUCCUUUGGAAUCUCAAUCCCAAGAUCAUGUUUUCCUGUUGUGAGUACCUGCAAGGAGUUGAAAUAUAUAGUUAAUGAAGAAAAAUAACACAUUAGCAUGGGCUAGUUCCAUCUUUUUUAUUCACAAAUAUAAUUUGUCAACAUGGUGGCACACACCGUGCUAGCUAGCCAAAGGAUCUCCAGGGGGAAAUAUGUAAAAUGUUAUUGUUUGAGGGGGCAAAGGGCUCUAAUUUUUUUAUCAUAAACGUAACAUAAGGGGGGGGGGGGCAAUCGCCCCCUUACUUGUACAUAUCUCCGCCACUUGUUGUAUGACUCCAUGGCUUUCAGGGUUCAAGCCGCAGGCAACCACCCCCUUACUUAUACAUAUCUCCGCCGCUUGUUGUAAUACUCCAUGCCUUUCAUGGUUCAAGCAACGACAUCAUGUCUUGUAGUGAUAAGAACUCGACUACUUGUGGUGCCGUGGCUAAAGGGAGCUUUCAGCAGGUUGUUCCAUUCGACGUUACCCCACAUGCCAUCUAACACAAGAAAGAACUUCCUGUGUUUGGUGAAACUAGCAAGAGUAGGCACAAGUGAGGCUUCAUCUUCAUACCCACUAUCAAGUCUUGGCAUGUUUCGCUCAGUUGUAGUGAUUGCCAUCUUCAAUAACUAAACCUCGUUGUACUCCUGUGUGAUACCUAACCAUAUGUUCUUGGUCAACUUGCCUUGGACUGCUUCAUCAAUGAAAACCUUCUUACUAACGGUGGUCUUGCUAGUACCUACAACAACGACGGUGAACACCAUGUUGUUAUCACUCAUGUUAGCUUCCAUCCUUUAUGAGCAUCUCGACAAGCACUCUUGUGUCAUAUUCAAUCUUCUCCACAACCACCUAUGAUCACUCGAGCAAAGGAUGUGCCUUGAGGUCCAUACCAUGAGGUCAAGCCGUAUUCCGGCCCGGGUAAGCUUCUAGCUUGAUGAAAUUGAAACGGCCGCCCCUCUUGCAGUUGUCAUCCAACUUCUGGUUGAGCACCUUGAUGUGGAUACUGAUGUCAUAUGCGUGGAUGGUAUUCCACAUGCAGAAGAGCAAGGGGUUAAGACACCCCCGCAAAAUUGGAUUGCAUGAGGAAGUGCGGGGGUUAAGACACCCCAUAUCCUCAAGGCAAAGGUCAAGGAUAUCGGUUGCUUGGUACACGACAUGCUUCAGUCCCUCCACCCACCACCGUGAACUAUCAUUGGUGAUGUUUCUUCGAUCAACAUCCGCGAGGAUGUUGGAGUAAUCCAAACGUCUUAAAGUAGUAUUAGGGAUUUGUCUGCAUGCCAUGUUGUGUGCCAUUAGUUGGGAGUUAUGAAGCGUUAGUGUUCAAGUCCAAUUAGGAUUAGUAAAAGUUAACCAUGCUGGCCGGUUGAUUAGAUUAGGAAAGUGUCAUACUCCAUUGGGAGGGGGGGGGGAAAUUCAGUAGAAGGCUUACCCUUUUACAAAGUUUUUGAUCAUGUAUGUUCGUGAUACAUUGAUGUGACCGACCUAUGGGAGAAACCCAACAUUUGGUAUCGAAGCAAGUUCAAAGAUUUGCCGUGUUUGCCCCCCCAGGUGGCGACCCCAACUAGUAGGGGUGGAAAUGGAUCAAAUGCGGUCUUAUCACUUUCAUUUCCUUAGUUUCAAAAUAAUAAAUACGAAUGCGAAUACGAAUGUUAUUGGGUUUGAAUGCGGAUCUGAUGAGUAGUUACUCAGAUACAGAUACAUAUCAGAUGUUUACUCGAUUCAGGUCGGACACAAAUAAUAGCAACAUUUUAGUAAUUGAAAAUAAGUGAAGAUCUACAUGACUCAAAAUAAUCAACAUGCAGCAUGUAAUACGUGAAUGAUAGACAAUUUUAUGAAUAAAUACUACAAAAAUGCAUAGUCGUGCCUUAGUUCAAUUUUGCAAAAUGUAAAAUUUGACAACCUAUUAGUCUUUUAUGUUGGAUAAUUGGCAUAGUGGCGAAUAUUCAUUUCCGAGCUCGGGCUUAGAUACUCCCGAAAUCAGAGUCGUAUGCUAGAAUGUGGAUCUGUGCACGUGGCUGCAUUUUUUCUGUCCGUAUAUUCCAUGUAAAGUAAUAAAAACAGGUGACCUCUCAGUCGACCGAGGACUUAAUAAAGUCUUAGUUGAUGCUAUAUUCGUUAGAUCUUACAUGGAGAUCCAUGUAAAUUUUCCUUUUAAGUUUUUUAUUUCUUCUUUAUUAUAUGUUUUGUCACUUGACUGAGACGCCCUUAAGUCUUAGUCGGCUGAGAUCUAGCCACACCCUUGUUAUUUACCUUAGCACCUGUAUAGGCAUUUUGCAUGAGAGAUAGCCUUAAUAUAAUUCGUUUUCCACGACGUGUUCUCUCACAAUUUUUCUGUCAUGUACCCAACUAUGAGUAGGCAAGUAUUAUUUGUGUUUUGCUCUUACACUGCCCUCAAUGUAAUUGAACCAAGAGCCAACAGAAGGUUUCUUUUUUUGGUGGGGAAGCACAAGCUUUUAUUUUGAUACACGUGAUUAAUUAUUGGAGAUAGAUACUACUAUACACAAAUGCUUGUAUCCAAUAUUUGGAUUUCCAUAUCCUCUAAGACAUUACACAAAUGCUUGUAUCCAACAUUUGGAUUUCCAUAUCCUUUAAGACUUUGCACAAAUGCUUGUAUCCAAUAUUUGGAUUUUCAUAUCCUCUAAGACAUUACACAAUAUUCCAAUAUUUGGAUUUCCAUAUCCUCUAAGACAUUACACAAAUGCUUGUGUCCAAUAUUUGGAUUUCCAUAUCCUCUAAGGCAUUGAAUGCAAAGCAAAGAGGAGUGCAAUAAAUAGCACUCAAACCACGUUCUUCUCCUCACACCAUCAUUCCAACAACUUAUUUUGAUCACUUGGCCAUGGCGUUCAGCCGCGCCCAGAUGCUCGCUGCCUUCACCUUGGGCUUUCUUCUCAUGGCCUUCUGUAAGUUCAUGUAGCAGAUUUUUAUCGCAAUUCCAUGCAAUUUUUGAUCAAUCAAUGAAACAAUUGCUACUAUAAUUUUAUGUUGCACACAUUAAUUCUAACUCACACGCAGGUGUGGAUGGUCGGGUAUGCACGUCCCCUAGCAAGUUGUACAAAAGGAGCCCUUGCAAGAACAUGGGCUGCACCGCGGCCUGUCACAAAGAGCACUUCAAGGGUGGGUACUGUGCCACUAAGAAGACAAUUGUUGGCGAUGAGCUCAACGAGGACAACAACGACAACUUCUUUCACAAACGACCUAAGAAAAAGACAUGCGUAUGUACACUUCAAUGCAGUAAAGCCCCACCACCACCGUCAGAACCUGACGUGCCAGAGCCACCGGGUGAACCUGAGGUGCCAGAUCCUAAGAAGAAGCCGCCGCCGCCAUAUGUAUGUGAUGUGCCGGAGCCGCCCUCGGGAGAAAACAAGAAGAAGCUAGUGGCAGCUGCUGACCAGUGAGCAAAUGGUCUAGCCUGCCCGUCCGUGGAAAAUGAUUUCAAUAAGACAGGAAUUAAUCAAUGCUUACUAAAGCCUACGAAACCUUCCAUCCCUAAUUAAUCCCCUCCCCCUGAUUGGGCGUCGCAUUGGGGAUCGAUUUGGCCCCGAUCCGGCUUGAUGGAAUACAAGCCAUGCCCAUGCCACCCCAUGGACGCCCCUGACCGAGGUUGGGGCUUGCCGUGGGUGCAUCCGCACCGGCGCGGUGGCCUGCAGUCCCUACAACCAGCAUAAGCUCUGAAACGUGGGAAAGACGCAAGAUCAGAUGUUCCCCACAACCUGAACAUGUGAGCUAUGAUAUUUCUCCCGGCAUGUGUGUUGCUUCUGCUGGAUGAUGCUCUGUUGCCUCCUAGCUGUCGUCGUCUUUCCUUCUCUUGCUGCUCGAUGAAGUUGGUCGUGAUGCUAGCUUUGCAUGCUAUGGAGUUUCUAGUUUUUACUUACAUUGAUCUGAUUAUGUAUACCUUUUUUGGGGCAGGGGUAUAUGUAUGCCAGUAUACAUUAUUAAGUACUGGGGAGAAGAGGGGGAUGUAUUGUACCUCUGUGGAACAUCGUCUUUUAGCUGAAUCUAUAUGUUUAUUCAAUCUGAACUUGGAUGUUUUAUUUGGCUUGCACACCCCCUGUAAAGAAAUAUAAGAUCGUUUUGAUCACCAAACUACCUUGUGAUUUCCUAUGCUGCAAACUGUAAUUAGUUUUCUUUAGCUGCAGGCUUUGUUACUAUAGUUGGCUAAUGGCUAAUGCACUUAAUUGGGACCAUUUCUGGUCUGAUAAUAAAUGCAGGUAUGUCUAAUUUGGAUCUUAACUAGAGCACCAACGUAUGCUUCUAACACCUCUGAAAAAUUAUCGCAACUGAAGUAUUGGACUCAUCUAUAUAUGGACAUCAUUCUAGCUUACUCCUUUGGUACGUACACAUGACAACUGAGAUUGGAACCCCCUUUUGUAAUGAUAAUCACCAUAAUCUGCAAUUAAUUCAGCAUCACAUGGGAAAAUAAGUGGGGAUAUUGUCACUAAAAAAUAUUCCAAUUUUGUGGAGCUUGACUAGCUGGGAUCAAUUCUUGCAUUCCACAACAUGCUUUGUUACGAAGCAAUAACCCAUGUCUCCACAUGCUAGAGUUUCAGUUUCCUUGGAUGUUGCAAUGUAUAUUUCAAAACUUCAUCUGUGGAUUUGGUUUCGAUCACAAAGAAUUGGUAGACAUUUUUGCUAAUUUACUAGGCCCUUUCCAGCAGCAGAUUCCUUUUAAUGUAGAUAUGCCAUGCUUACAGUUUGACAUGAAUACUUCAUGUUGUGCUUCUUAGCUCUAAUAGUACUUUGUGUUUACUUAUACUAGCGGCUGGGGUCACUACUGGGAAAGCGAUUAUAGGUGAAUCCUAAUGAGUGGCGGGCAUAGUCGGUAACCCGCAACAACUAUUUUUGAAAACAAGCAGUGGCGGGUAGCAAACACUGUCCGCCACAGCUAGAAGCUCACUUUAGGAAAGGGGUUUGAAGAAAAUAUGUUGUCUGUGCGUUGUUUGCGAGAAUGAUGUUAUAUACACAAUUGAAUCGGGAGAGUUGCAUAAGCACUUGUUGGCUGGUGGUUUCAUGCCCGGUUAUACGAUAUGGACAAGUCAUGGUGAGGAUGGGAUGUCAUGUGAAGGAGCGGAACAUGACGAGGAACAAGAAUGGUUGAUGGAUGGACAUGAUGAACAAUCUGACGGUGAUGAAUACGGCGAGUCUGGUGAAGAGUCCGACGAAAGUGAGGAGGCCGAAAUGGAGGAGGCAAUCAUCUAGGGCAAAUUGGCGGGAAUGGUGCAUGAUGAACACAUGCAAGAGUUGAACAUGAAAGAGACUAGCACCGAGGCAGCUUCUCGUAGAGAGGCUACCAAACUGGCGACUCUUGUGAAGGACUUAACAGCCGCUUUGUACGGUGGUUGCAAGGCAAAACAGACACGACUAAGUGUCACGAUGAAUCUUAUGGACAUUAAGGCAAAAAACAAUAUCACAGACACUUCCGUCGAUAUGAAUUUGAAGUAUUUGCAUGAUGUUCUUCCUAAAGGCAACGUGUUGCCAAAAAGUAUUGAUGAGGCAAGGAAGGUAUUGUGUCCUCUUGACAUGGAGCCGGUAAAGUACCAUGCAUGCAAAAAUGACUACGUAAUUUACCGGAACGAGUACUCCAACCUAAUAAGGUGUCCAACAUGCAAUUUUCCACGAUUCAAGCGGGGAAACAACAAUUGGGAAGACAAUGAUGAUGGUAGAGCACCCGCUAGCGGUACUCCUUAUAAGUUUGUAUGGUACUUCCCAAUCAUUCAACGCCUGAAGCGUUUUUAUGCAAACAAGAAGCAGGCAAAGCUUAUGAUUUGGCAUUCUAAGAGGAAUAAGUAUGACAGAGUGAUUAAACACGUUGCAUAUGGUCGGCAGUGGAAAGCAAUCGAUGACGAGUUCCCUCAUUUAAGUGGAGAUGAUAGGAAGCUGGGCUAUAGUGUGGAUGGUCUGAAUCCCUUUAGUAACCAAAACAGCGCACACAACACCUAGCCCGUGGUUGUCUGCAUCUACAACCUUCCCCCAUGGGUGUGCACGAAGAGAAAGUACACAUGGUCAUGCCAAUUCAACAACCAAGCCAACUGGGUAGUGAGUUGAACAUGUAUAUGUAACUACUGAAGGAGGAGUUAGAAAUUUUAUGGGCAGAUGAGGGGGUGUGUACAUAUGACGCUAAAACGGGUACGUAUUUCGCUAUGAAAGUUGUGCUGCUCACGACGAUGGAGGACUAUCCGGCAAACGGUUAUAAUUCAGGUCAAGUUUGCCACAAGAACUGUGCAUGUGUUAGGUGAAUGGAUGAAACUCAUUCUCUAUAUCUGAAGGCCUCUCAUAAAACAGUUUACAUGAAGUAUAAGUGAUUGAAAAGAAACAUUUUGACAGAUUUAAUUUCUAGGCUUCUAAAUAUUGAGAUUUUUUAUGCACUAUAUACGGAUGAUUUAUUGUAUGAUAUACGACACGUACGUACAUGUUAGGGCCAUCUUAAAGGAGCUCUUCUUACCCUCAGCUAUUGGACCUCCUCAUUCGGUUAUGAUCUAGUACGAUGACCCUCAUCAGGUGUACUACUACUUAUAGUUCAUCGGAGUUUCUAUUCGUGUAUGGGUACCUAGAUGACCUGUCAUAUGUUCCUUAGCUCCACAAUCUCAGCGACUGAUAUAUCUUGAUAUUUACUUAUCAGACGUAACGUUAAUUGCUGACAUCAAUGUCUCCUGCUAACACAAGUCGAUGUGCAUGUACAUGAAUCAAAACAAGUAACAAACAAGUAAACCCAAUUGUAUAGAGCCAACAUAGCACCACAAAGGACCACCUCAGUAGGCGCAAUCGUGCACCCCAUCCCCUAGUACCUUAUAGCAAAUCUACUAGUCAUCUAUUGGGCAAAUUAUAGGAAAAAAGGCUCUCUAGCAGAGUUGCAAUAUCUAGCAAAAUUGACAUAAUUUUGUAGAGCAUCCUCCAUAUUCGGCCUCCCAGCCCCAUAUUUGGAGUCUUGGGCUAUCUUUUGGAAGACGCUCCAUAUGGCUAUUCUGUGUGGCGGGAAGAAAACCUCACAUGAUCCAUCACCUCACAUGGGAUCGAUAUUUUAAUUGGAGGAAAAUUGUAUUCCACUGGCAUAUGGGUCCAUUGAUUAUGAAGGCCACAUUAUGGCGACUAUGUGUUUAUACGCACAACCUCGGUGGACUCCAUAAUUUAUAUGGAGCGCACAUCAUAUGAAUACUGGGACUCCCAAUAUGGCGACUCUGCUAGAGUUGCUCGUAGGAGGCAUGUAGCCUUGCCCACAAAUGAUCGUUAGGUUCAAGGAACGCAUCUGCUCGUCCAUGUUGCAUUCGUCCCAUAAAAUAAUCUCAAGUAAAACUUCUCGUUCCCCGCAUGACAGGACCCACACAAUAGGAUUGUACAUAUCACGCCUCAGUCAUAAAUGUCUCCUGAUACCCGUUGUUUCUUUUCUCCUAGAGACCAUGGCGAUCAUAGAACACACCACCUGCGAUGUUACCAGGAGUGCUUCCCCAAUACCAACUGGCGACCAUGGAGGACCAUCGUCGUACCCUCGCGACCAUUGGGCCACCGUCGAGAUCCAUUAGUCGCUGGGAUCCAGUCCUACUGUUCUUCACCGCCGGUUGGAGCUUGCCAGAUGCUCCAUCUUUCCAUGUUCACCGCCUCGUUCUCCGCCACCUUCCUCUUCCCUACAGUUUGUAGUCUGCUAAUUGAUGUUUGUGAUGAUCGACUCCAAGAGCAUUUUGGGUUGACCAGACCUCUCCUCCAUUGCUGACAACGGGUUGCAUGGAAGGUUUUGAAUGCGUUGUUGCGCUCGCUCACAAUAGAUCCAACCCUGCCAGGGAUUUCAAGUGGUCUCUCCGGAGUAAGUCUAAACCCAUUGUGGUGGAUGUUAAGGUUUUGGUAAUAGGGUUUAGAGUGGAGUGAGGGUAAAAUUUCUAGGCAUUAUGGUAACUAUGGUACUAGUUUGUGACGACCCAAUAGGAAGGGAUCGCAGUCACAUAACUGGAUAGGUAGGGAAGCAAAUGGUGAAGUUGGGGAAGACAAUGUUGAGGAUUCAUAGAGAAUUUGAUAUAAGAACUACAAUGCGCAUUCCAUCUUUGUCGUCGUUCACCAUUGUCUUCAGCAUGAGUAACACACACCAACUCACACGGGUUAGGUCACAUUCGACACCAACACUACACAACCCAUAGCCCGAAUCUUACUCCACUAUAUCGUUUUUGGAUGCAUGUGUCGCAUACUAUAUGUUGAUGGAACGGAAGAGCAAAGAGAAGAUCUAGACCAUCUUCCACGCUAUGCCAUUGGAAGCAAUGUACCAGACUGUCGACUACAGAUAUUCCUCCAAAAAUAUGUAACUUCGUCUCGAGGCUGGCAGAGUGUACUGCCAAAGUUAUUACAUGAUCGCAACAUGUCAUCUACUACAUCAUGUGGAAUUUGCGGUAUAGCGGAUCAUACAUGGUUUCACUGCUCGUUGAUUGUACAAUGGUUUGAUAUGUUAGGGCUUUGAUAGAUGAAGACUUGACGGAGCAAAUAUGCAUGUCGGCUUCAGAAAAUAACCUAUUGAUGUCGCCAAAAAAAUAAGGUGAAGAGAGGCUUGGGACCGGGCCCAACUCAUCCCAAAUGGAUCCUGCGGCCACAAGGAAGUUGCAAGACCAAUGCAAAUAGAGCACUCGCAAAAUUUUCAGCGAAGGUUGCCGUCGUUAUUGCUUGUUGUGUUGAAGAUGACUCCGGUCCAGGAGUAUGGACUAUGGUAGCGAAGGCAUUCAGGGCCCAUUAAUAGUUUAAAUGAAGGCCCUUCAAGAGGCCUUGGACCGACACUUGAUUUAUAGAUCAAAACAGUGAGGAUAACAUCAGACUGUCAGACGAUUAUCAAUGACAUCAACAAUGGAAGCAUGGCAGUCUAUGACAUGAUACUUGUGGAGAUUAAUGGCCGUUGUAAGGAACUCAACGAUAUUUCAUUCCACUAUGAGAAUGAGAGUGGAAAUUCUAAUAGAGGCAGAUUCUACAGCAAAAUAUGCCCUUUCUCUGACGAGUGGCUAGGACUUCUAGCUGCUUAUUAACUAGAGAGCUGCUAUGCACAUGAUACCUGUUGCACGAUUGUUGGACGAUACUGCAAAUCGCACCAUCCAUAUGUAGGAGUAGGUGCGACACAGCCACUGGAUUAACUAUCGUGCCUGAAUUGUCCAAUAGGUAUCUCUCGUGAAGUAGUUUCGUAUUAACCAUCUCACCAGAUUUGUAUACUGUACCGCAAGAAAUUUUAGAUGAAUAUAAAAUCACCAACCUCGUUGAAGACAAAAAAUAAUGGCCGCGUGUGCAAACUCAAUUUUCACCUACUCUCUCCUUCCAACAAUAUAAGACGUUUAUGCAAGCAAGUAAAUGAUUAGAUAUAGUGAGGAGUCAUCUUAAAGUCUGAAUUUGGUCCCUCAACUUUAAAAAGAUGUCCUCCACCUUUAAUUUUCAAUGCCCGAUAAGUUUGGUCCCUCUUCGAAUGUUAAACCGGUUUUUAAUGAUGUGGCUUGGUUUUCAUGGGUUGACACGUGGCAUAAAUCCUAAUCUGCUACAUCUAUCUUGGUUUAUUGGUCUGCAUUGUAUUUUGUGUCAAUUACCAUAGAUUUAACUACCAAAAUGUUCUUGCAUGUCAUAAAAAAUUAUAUCAUUGAAAACUAUGUUCAAAUACGAAUCCUUCGAUAUAAUUUUUGUUGACAUGCAUUCUUUUUGAGUUAAAAGUUUGAUCAAAAUUUGACGCAAACUACAAAGGGACCAAUAAACCAGGACGGAAGUAGUACUCAACAAUGUGACCAUUUAAAUAUUUUAACCAGAUUAUAUCUCUCUCAGCGCUUGGGUCCCUAUCUAUCGCAUUAACACGUUGAACCGCGACAUAGUACACUUGAGGGUGGAGCUACAGUGGGGCUGUGAGGUGUUCCCGGAUCCAUCCAAUGCCGUCAGCGGCGUCCAAUCUAGCCCCACCCCACCGAAGCCAAACGGCUCGAGUACCUAGUCAUGGACACUCCGUAUUAAACGCCUCGCUCCUGCCAGAAUAUUGGCCUUCUUUGGCCCGACGGAAUGCGCCCCCAUCCUCUUCUUUGGAAUCGUUUCCCGCUGCCGCGCGCAGUGGAACCCGACGACGAAUGGGCGGAAAGCAGACGAGAAAGGGGAAACCAGGGCUACUGCCACGACGUACUCCUCGUAGGCGGCUGCAUUGUAUGCACUACUAGGGAAAAGCCUAGCAGCAGCGCGGGUUUUAGGCCUAUCAGUAGCGCGGGGCGAUGCGCUAUUGAUAAGGCGCUACAGCUAACGUAUAGCAGUAGCGUGCCUCCGCCCACGCUACUACUAAAUCGACAUAGUAGUAGCGACUUCCCGGAGGAGCGUUACUGGUAAUUAGUAGUAGCGCUUCUCCCUACCCGCGCUGCUACUAUUAUUUCGUAUUUUAUUUCUUUUUUAUUUCAUGUUGUAUUCGUACACCUUUACACAAGUUUUCAUACAACAUGAAUUUAUAAAUUGUUUUUACAUCAUAAUGAGUUACUACAUCACGGGGUGAAAGAACCGUGGACUAGUUUCAAGUGGAUGGACAUAAUGAGUUACUAAUCCACGGUUCUUUUACCCAAUGAUAUAAUAAAUAUCAUCAUCAUCAUAUCAUUAACAACUUAUCAUCAUAAUACAUCAUUGUCAUAUAACACCUCCUCAAGAUCAUCGUUUUCAUCAAUGAGACAUCACAUAGCAAAUUGGUCACUAGUCGUAAUCACAAGUACUCCUCAUCAUCAACUCUAACACAUUGUAUCACAUAAUAAACAUAUUUUACCUCAUAGGACCUACUACAUUCUCUUAGGACCUACUAUAUUCUCUAACGUAAAAUAGCAAAAAAACAAGAUAGCCCCUGACUCUCCAUUAUGGAGAAUGGAGAUUAUUCUGUCUCCAAUUCUUGCCUUUUGCUUAAUGUUACUUCCAAGAACCUCCUUGCGAAUGUCCAAACAUUUUUUCCAUUGUUUGAUUAGCAUGUGUUCACCGGUUUUAGAAAUCCGAUAUGCACAGGUGAGCUCCUUAGAUUGACCUGGCUGUAUGUUCAGAACUGCAAGGCGACUAUUCUGAUACAUCAGAUGAGGCACACAAUCCAUCGGGAUUUUCUAUUGAAAAACAUAGUAAUAACUUUGUAGUUAGCAAUGAUGUACUAGUUUUAGAAGUAUGCAAAAGAUGCACGGAUGUCAUAAUAGUAAAAAAUCUUACCAGGGUAUCUCCAUAGAAGUUACCGUGGUUCAACACGUGCACUAGUGGCACGUAUUCACCAUAAUUUGGAGGAGUUUGAUAAUAGGUAUUGUAAUUCUCAAGAUAAGUACAAUAAGCAUUCAGAUGACUUUUCUCCUUAUAAGUUAAUUCAGAGCCAUCAGUGUAGUGGGUUUUGUCUACCAUCUUCUGCACAUUCUUUGAAGAUUCAAAAUAAGCUGUCAAUGGAAAUAAGCUGUCAACUAUUUUGAAAUAAACAAUAUAAAGUAGUUAAUAACUAUGUUUGAGAAACUCACAUUGCGGUAGAAUCGGAAGCGUAUCAACAAGGACCCAAAUGUCCAUAUUGUCUUGCUCGAUGUCAGGAUCACCAAGAUCCAUGGUGACAAUCAUACCCUCAUAAAAACCAUACAUUUUGCAAAGUGUUUCCCAAUUUUGGCAACCAAAAUGGGUUACGCUCUGAGAAUUGUACAGAUUUACUUCAAAAUCGAUAUCAUGAUGGAUCCUUAGGUGUAUUUUCUUUGUUUGAAAAUUUUCAUGGUCUUCAAAACCCAUCCUCUCCAAGACAUAGCGUCUUGCAUGGCAUGGGAUAAACUAAUCGAAUUGUAAACAAUGAAAAUUAGACGUUGAAAUAGUUAAAGUCAUGCUUAAUUACGAAAAAAAAACACUUGUCGUUGUUGCGUACCGUUUCAACAUCGAAGGUCUCCUCGAGCUUAAUGCUGAAGCGCCGAUCUUCGUCCAGCUCAACGAACAUGUCGCACAUACCUCGAUCGUCGUGGCACCAGCUGCACUCCCCCGGGAGACUAUCGUCGUCCGAGUACGACAUUUCCUACGUUCAUAAUUCAAAGAUUAAACUUGUACAAUUAAAUAUAUGUACUAAAAAACCUAAAUUAGAUCAUUAUUUUUUGAGAAAAUCCAGGCCACUCGAUAUUUGCUACAAAUACUAGCACAAGUCAUGCCAGAAUUCACGGAAAAAUCCGGCAUGACCUUUGCUAAAAAAGGACAUAUCGAGCGCCUGAAAUUUGCUGGAAUGGAAAUUAAUCAACACUCCGGCAAAACAUAGGCCACUCGGAGGUGUAAACUGAACAUGAACGGCCACUUGGACAACCACAUAUCCUAUUUGAGCAACACAAGAUAUACAUGGAUAUUUGGCUGGUCUCACCUCGAUGUCGGAGGGGGUCGGUGACGGGGACGACAGUGGGGAUGAUGGAGGGGCUCCUUGAUUUCUACAGAAGCAAAAACCGUAUAAGUUAUCACUAAUACAUCCCGAAUAAUUGCUUAAACUAAAAAAUAACAACAAAUAUGGCAUGUUCAACUAGUUUUAUUAAUUUAACUAGUUCUUACUAAAUAUAAACUUACUAUAAAUAGAAAAAACAAGUUCUUUCUAAAAAUAAAGUAGUUCAACUAGUUAUAUUAAUUAUCUUACUAAAAAUACAUUAGUUCUAUUAAUUCAACUAGUUCAACUAGUUUAUUAAUUUACUUACUAAACUAGUUCAACUACAACUAAAGUAGUUCAACUAGUUUAUUAAUUUACUUACUAAUUAUUUUAAACACUUACUAAAAACAGUAAAAAUNNNNNNNNNNNNNNNNNNNNNNNNNNNNNNNNNNNNNNNNNNNNNNNNNNNNNNNNNNNNNNNNNNNNNNNNNNNNNNNNNNNNNNNNNNNNNNNNNNNNNNNNNNNNNNNNNNNNNNNNNNNNNNNNNNNNNNNNNNNNNNNNNNNNNNNNNNNNNNNNNNNNNNNNNNNNNNNNNNNNNNNNNNNNNNNNNNNNNNNNNNNNNNNNNNNNNNNNNNNNNNNNNNNNNNNNNNNNNNNNNNNNNNNNNNNNNNNNNNNNNNNNNNNNNNNNNNNNNNNNNNNNNNNNNNNNNNNNNNNNNNNNNNNNNNNNNNNNNNNNNNNNNNNNNNNNNNNNNNNNNNNNNNNNNNNNNNNNNNNNNNNNNNNNNNNNNNNNNNNNNNNNNNNNNNNNNNNNNNNNNNNNNNNNNNNNNNNNNNNNNNNNNNNNNNNNNNNNNNNNNNNNNNCGACGGUGAGGUCGAGAGCGGUGGUGAGGUCGAGAGCGGAGGGGGUGGGGGAGGUGGCGGCGACGGUGAGGUCGAGAGCGGCGGCGGGCGGCGGCGGUGAGGUUGACGGCGGCCUCGGACGGCGACGGUGAGGGCAGGCUCGGGCUCGGGCGGUGGCGACAGAGGAGUAGGGGAACAGUGGGGGGGGGAGUAGGAGUUAGCGAAAUUUUGAGCGGGCGGGUGGUUAAGUCGAACUAGCAGUGGCGCACUUUAGGAAACGCGCUAUAGCUAAAGUAGCUAUAGCGCGUUUUCAGGAAAAACGCUACUGCUAAGUCUAAGCAUGCAUCAAAAAUAUACGUUGGUCAUCAUUGAUAUUUUUGUGUAGAAUAUAAAUAGUCAACAUAUUUAAGGUGGUAAACACCUUGUUCACUUAGUAGUAUGGGACUAAACUUAAUUAGGUGCAACACUUAGCAGCAGCGAGUUUUGCAGAAACACGUUGCUACUAUGUACUUUAGCAGCAGCGCGUCCAGGGAAGGGCGCAACUACUAUAUCUAGCCUGGGGGCAAAUCCGUGGCAAUUAUAGUAGUAGCGCUUGUUUCACCUAGAGCGCUACUGCUAUCUAGUUAUUAGUAGCGCGGUUCCUUUAAGCUCGCUACUGCUAGUUAGCAGUAGUGCCUGUUUUAAAACCGCACUGCUGCUAAGAUUCUGUGUAUAACGUUUUCCCUAGUAGUGAUGGGAGAUGCUCGGCUGGUGUGCGCCAUUGUCUCCAUUGUGCUCAACGCUAUGCUAUCUGAAAGUUUUUCCCCACAUUUUAGUUAGAAUGUUUUAUUGUGCUGCAAGAAACCAAAAAAAAAA